CGGCGACGGGUGAGUAAUGCCUAGGAAUCCUGCCUGGUAUGGGGGACAACGUUUCGAAAGGAACGCUAAUACCGCAUACGUCCUACGGGAGAAAGCAGGGACCUUCGGGCCUUGCGCUAUCAGAUGAGCCUAGGUCGGAUUAGCUAGUUGGUGAGGUAAUGGCUCACCAAGGCGACGAUCCGUAACUGGUCUGAGAGGAUGAUCAGUCACACUGGAACUGAGACACGGUCCAGACUCCUACGGGAGGCAGCAGAG
rnacentral:rRNA from 1 species